ACUGAGGCAGGAACUCUUGAGAGGUGGGAUGAGCCAGGACACCAGGGUUGUGGAGAGCACCAGAGGACCCUGAAGAGCCAGGAAAGGGCUCUCUCUGGAGCUGCCAGAACUACCUCGUCCUCCUAAGCUUGACCUGGGCUUCUGGCUUACAGAAUAGAGAGAGAGAGAAGGCAUUAAUUACCUUGAGCGUGUCAUGGUCCUAAGGCCCAGGUGCCCGAGCUCCAUAGUGAACCCAUGGCUGCGUCAGCAGAGAACCCCUGAGCAUUUCACCAAGAACCACUGCGUGUGGGCCCCAAGUUUGCUGUUUCCUGAGAUGGCUUCAUUUUCAGCAGAAA